rnacentral:rRNA from 1 species
UACGUAGGCAGCAAGCGUUGUUCGGAGUUACUGGGCGUCAAGGGUGUGUAGGCGGUUGCUUAAGUUUGGUGUGAAAUCUCCCGGCUCAACUGGGAGGGUGCGCCGAAUACUGAGUGACUUCGAGUGCGGGAGAGGAAAGUGGAAUUCCUGGUGUAGCGGUGAAAUGCGUAGAUAUCAGGAGGAACACCGGUGGUGUAGACGGCUUUCUGGACCGUAACUGACGCUGAGACACGAAAGCGUGGGUAGCAAACAGG